rnacentral:rRNA from 1 species
UACGUAGGGUGCAAGCGUUGUCCGGAAUUAUUGGGCGUAAAGAGCUCGUAGGUGGUCUGUCACGUCGGACGUGAAAAUCCAGGGCUCAACCCUGGACCUGCGUUCGAUACGGGCAGACUAGAGUUCGGUAGGGGAGACUGGAAUUCCUGGUGUAGCGGUGAAAUGCGCAGAUAUCAGGAGGAACACCUAUGGCGAAGGCAGCUCGCUGGGACGUUACUGACGCUGAGACGCGAAAGCGUGGGGAGCAAACAGG